rnacentral:lncRNA from 1 species
UGAGAAUCAAGAUCAUAUCAAAAGGAUCAACACUAUAAAUCAAAACUCCUUAACUUAGAUAUCAAAAACAUCAUACAUUACCUAACUAGUCUUUCUCCACCUAGAAAAUAAACGAUACUACCAACCACACAACAUGCUAUAAUCCUAAAAAAUAAUGCAGCCCCAUAGCACCUUGGGCAUAUUCCUACAUCGCACCUACAACAUCAGACAUGAUUAUGAAUCAAGUAAACUUAAGCUCUUGCAUUCACUGUUCAAGCCUAUUAGAUCACUUCUAUACAACUAACUUUCACAACGCA